GCGAGGCCGCGGGAGGAGGAGGAGAAGGAGGAGGAGGAAGAGAAAGUGGAGCGGGUGGCGGGCGGGGAUCCGCCGGGCGGUCCAGGUUCGCGCUUCCCAGGGAGAGAGUCGGUGGUUCCCGGGACUCGCGGGAACCAGGGAAGGAAGCGAGGACACUUCCUGGGCGCGCGCAUUCCGGGGAUUGGGGGUGCGAGCAGAACCCCUCAGUCGCGGCCUGAGGAGGUGGCCCCGGGAGUUGGGGGUCUGCAGGACAGUUAUUUGGAGCAGCGUCUAGAUUUGGCCCGUGAACUUUUCAACUGGACCCUGCGCUGCCCUUGGGCCCGGAGAAUAUGGGUUCCUGCCCAGAGUUGCAGCUCUGGAUCUGGGAAGAAUCCUUGAGUGCAAUACCCCAGCCCCACCCCAACAAUUACUGAUCAACUCUGGGCAACUUCCAUGGCACAUCGCCACCUUGCCACAAAAGGGAUAAAAAGAAGAGUGACCUUUAGCCCUGGUGCCCUGGACAGUGAAAAUAGUGGCAAACAGAAGCUCGGGUCACAUUUAAAUAAAAAUGCAAGGCUGACUCGGAUUAAGUGAGCAAUCUAUAAAUGUUAUCAAAAUGUGAAAAAAGGGAGCUCUUUAUCGGAGGUAAAGAGACAGAGGCUGAACGUAAGAUGGUGACACGCCCCGAUCCCGUGCUACCCCUGGAUCGUUCCUUCUGUAACCCCUGAGGGUGGUGGUUUGGGUCAGCAGGAUGGCCUACUCCUAGGGUCUGAGAGGUCCCUCAGAGAAGGUGAUGUUUGAAUUUGGACUCCAGUUCACAUGUGAGAUCGGGCAUCUCAGGCCAGGCAAUAGCAUUAGGACUCGAUUACAACAGUUCAGGCCUGAGGCAAUGAAACUUGGAAUUGGCAUUGAGAAUGGAAAAAGGGUCAAGUGCGAGAGACAUUUG